AUGAAAACGAGUAGAACAGAAAAGCACUUUGUUAUUCUUAAAGCGAGCCGAUGAGAGUGGAAGUUCGGUAAGACACUGCAUGGUGAAAGAUCCUCUACUUGAGACCUGCUUUUCCGAAAUUAGAGUAAGAAGCAGCGGCUGACCUCGUUAUUGGUCACAGAGAGUUUGCACUAGAUAGAUGCAACUAAAUUUGGGUGGUACCACGGCAUGUUCGUCCCUUGC
rnacentral:ncRNA from 1 species